rnacentral:lncRNA from 1 species
CUCGACAUUACUGUACAAAUCUAGAAAGUGAAAGACGACAUAAAAUGAAGAACAGACUCAAAACAUAAAAAAUAAAAUAAAUCUCCUUAAGCAACUCCUGAAUGAGCGAUCCUGACUGGAUGGUCACGGGGUGUCUGUCAUGCUCAAACUCCGGUAAGUAGACUCACACCUAUAUGAGAAAAUUAAGACCGAAUAAAGUUAAAGACCUAGAACACUAUGUGAGAUAAUAACCUUUCCUGUUGGACACAUGCAAGACAUGAUUGUGACUAUUUUUUUAAAAUUAACCUAUGUGGCUAAAAGUGGCUAAAAAUGUAAGAUUUGGCUAAGACCCUGCGAAGCCAAGAACCUAAGACUCACUAGGAAGACCGGACCCUAUGUGGGUUGCCUACGUAUCACCCCCCAAAAGACGAGAAUCAGUAUGCGUAGUUCGGGCAGAUUGGAUACGGGCGAGAAUUAAAAAUUAACAAAUAAUUUAGAGAAAAUAUAUUUUUGUCUUUGUGAAAAUGAUGAAACAUGUAAACUCUUUUUGGAUUUUCUUUUUCCUUUUUUGUGAUCCUUUUUUUUUUUUGGAAAAUGAUGGGAAAGUGCAAAAUCUUUUUGGAUAUUUUAUGUUUUUUUUGUCUUUUUCUUAAAAAAAUGUGAAGAAAAACAUAACUGGGCCCUACUUGCUUUAUUUUUUACACUUCACCCUUUUUUUUUCAUUUAUCGUCAACCCUCGUUGGUCCGCCAAAUAAUCCCUUUUACCCUUGUAGAUUGCAACAUGUAGCACAUUAGGAUGCAUCAGGAUGGUCUUUUAUUUUUUGGGGUACACUUGUCCUAGACUGACCCAACCCCUGUGUUGAGUCCCCUAAGUCAAAUGCACGUGAUGCAAACAAGUGUUACUAGUAGGGAUCCGGCAUGAGGCUAUGCUAUACUAUGUUUUAAAACCUGGGUUUAUUUGUUCUAGACCUGGCUUACCCGAGCGGACAGCUCGAGCCGAGGGGGGCAGCGUACCGGGAAUACAGAAGUUUCACCGGCUUUGCAACUUGUCCGAACCUUGUUCUAAAAUUGGGAUAUGACUCUAACAGAAGAGAAGCUACACGAAGUGCACCCUUCCCAGAUAAUUUAGAAGACUCAGAGAGAGGAGAGUUUCGUAACAAUUUAUAUACAGUCCAAAUAAUAUCAAAGAGGUAAAAAGCGGCAAUUAGCACAAUAAGCUCAAACAUGUAAAAAUCGGAUAAUAAAUAAAAGCCAACUGUAAUAGUUAUUCUAAGCUCGAAUUCUGAAUCUUAAUCCAGAGGUUCUUGGUUCUCAUCCCCAGCAGAGUCGCCAGAGCUGUCACACCUCCUUUUUCUCCCCCGCAAAGGAUGUAUGGGAGUUUUUCAAAUUAAAGUAACAAUAAUCGAAACGAGAUUAUUUAUAUUCAAGUUUAGAGUCGCCACUUGGGAUAAUUUAUGGUGUCCCAAGUCACCAGUUUAAAAUUCUGAAUUGAGGAAGUUUGACUCUAUUUAUAGUCCGCGAACACAGAAGACUGGGUAAGGAAUUCUGUUAACCCGGGAGAAUGUGUGAGGUACUCCUGAGUUCCGUGGUUUUAGCACGGUCGCUCAACUAUUAAUAAUUGGCCUCGUUAUCUAAUUUAUUACAUAUUUUAAAUCUAUUGUGCAUUUUUAACUUUAUAACCGCUUUUAUUUAUUUAACCACUUUUUAAGAUUUAUGGAAUUAUUUCUGGAACAAGUUACAGUGUCGUACAUUUGUUGUUUUGGUACAGAUUUCGAAUCGCGUCACGUGAAACGCACCCGCGAUUUACAACAUAUUUAUUUUAAUUAUUAAUCAAAAUUUUGGAUGGGUCACAGGAAAUUCACACCCGAAUUGAGAUUUACGUAUCGUGUCCAUGCCACGGGAACCGUACCCAUAGUUACGAUGAUUUAUUAUUACUAAACAUGCCUAAAGCAAGCUACGAUAUUCAUAAGUUAUUUUCCUAAAAUACUUCAAGAUUAUCGUAAGGCUAAAGUUGUGGAAAAUUAUUGUGAAAAAAGUCUAAACUUUAAUUAACGAGAAUUAGCACAACUUCAGUAAACUCCCGCAUUUAUCCAAAGAGAUUUGACAAUAUCUUUCUUUGCACGGGAGGAUUUUCCACUACUGCCUUCUAUAGAUUCAACCAAAGCACACCAAAUAAAUAUGACAGAUCAUUUUGUACUAUUAGAAAACAAAAGAAACUUGUUUAUGGUCUCAUUAUACUAGAAUUGAAGUAGUUCUAAAAGAAAUGCCAUUUAAUUUCAAGAAAUACCACAAAAUUCUAAUCAAAUAAAAGAAACGUAAUAUGGAAGAAAAAGGAAUACACAAAAACUCACUGCUGAAGAGCAGAAACUACGUUAUGAACCUCAUCGGUUGAUGGACCAAUACCCGACGAGCUAUUGAUUGAACUCUGAACCGGCGACCUCGAUGGAUUGAACUUCGCUAUUGUUCACUCGAGUUUUGGACUGAAAUUCCCUGGCUCCCUCUUAUUCUCGUUCUCUCACUAUUUCUUGCCUCCGUUUAUGCCUGUGUGCGUGUGUUUACCCAAAGAGUUCUAGAUCUAACAGUGGACGGAGGUGGUUGGCUUAGGCGUCGAGAAGGGUGAGUGCCAUUCUUCUCUUGAUUGUGAUUGAAAUAUUAAAUUUUCCACAUUCACACCCUUAAUCUAGCUACAACAGUUUGGGUAGUGAAUAUUUGACACUACUUUUCCUAUUUCUCAAGAUCAGUUACUACAAUAGGCACAAUCAAGUAUAUUGCAGAAGCUUGGAGAUUAGAGGACUGCCAUUCUUUUUCGUCUUGGAAUUGGGGUGCUCCCGUUUUUGAGUUAUUUUCGGCCGAUAGCUCUAAGUA